CGGGAUAGCUCAGUUGGAGAGC
rnacentral:tRNA from 1 species